rnacentral:tRNA from 1 species
GCGGGCGUGGCGGAACUGGCAGACGCGCAAGACUUAGGAUCUUGUGGCCGCAAGGCCGUGCAGGUUCGAUUCCUGUCGCCCGCA